UCACCUGUUUCACAGGAAACGACAGCCAGC
rnacentral:piRNA from 1 species